rnacentral:misc_RNA from 1 species
AAAAAAAAUCCAUGAUAUCCAUAGUGGACAUGGUGAUAUUGGUGGUACUUUGCUAGUAUAAAUGUAUAAUUGUAAGGACUGAGUGGUCAAGAAUUGAAUAGAUACUGCUGAAAUUAGAGCAUUGAUAAAACGUAGACAUUGUUUAUAAUUUAAGUUGUAACUUUUCUUACUGUAUGUUAAAUUAAUCUUCAAAUUUGGUGCUCAUCUAUGUUUACAUGAACUAUUUGUUAUCUUUUCA